AGGCUAGAAAAUUGGGCAAUGGGGGAAACCCUGACCCAGCGACGCCGCGUGCAGGAAGAAGCCCUUCGGGGUGUAAACUGCUGUCGUGCGGGGCGAAGGGCUCAUAGGUGAAUAAUCUAUGGGCUUGACGGUACCGCAGGAGGAAGCCCAGGCUAACCUCGUGCCAGCAGCCGCGGUAAUACGGGGUGGGCAAGCGUUGCCCGGAAUUACUGGGUUUAAAGGGGGUGUAGGCGGCCGGGAGAGUCAGGUGUGUAAUCCAACCGCUCAACGGUUGGGCUGCAUCUGAUACUUCCUGGCUAGAGGGCGUUAGAGGAGAGCGGAACUCCCGGUGUAGCGGUGAAAUGCGUAGAUAUCGGGAGGAACGCCGGUGGCGAAGGCGGCUCUCUUGGGCGUUCCUGACGCUGAGGCCCGAAAGCUGGGGGAGCGAAAGGGAUUAGAUACCCCUGUAGUCCCAGCCGUAAACGAUGGGCACUAGACGUUCCCCUGUAGGGGGGAGUGUCGAAUGGAAACUGAUAAGUGCCCCACCUGGGGAGUACGCCCGCAAGGGUGAAACUCAAAGGAAUUGACGGGGGCCCGCACAAGCGGUGGAGCGCGUGGUUUAAUUCGACGCUAAGCGAAGAACCUUACCUGGGCUUGACAUGCUGGUGGUACCCUGGUGGAAACACUGGGGGACCUCCCGCGAGGGAGGAGCCAGCACAGGUGCUGCACGGCUGUCGUCAGCUCGUGCCGUGAGGUGUUGGGUUAAGUCCCGCAACGAGCGCAACCCCUGCCCUUAGUUGCCACAGCAUCCAAGAGGUGGCUGGGCACUCUAAGGGGACUGCCGCCGAUGAGGCGGAGGAAGGUGGGGAUGACGUCAAGUCCGUGUGGCCUUUAUGUCCAGGGCUACACACGCGCUACAAUGGAUGGUACAAUGGGCUUAGCGACCCCGCGAGGGGGAGCGAAUCCCUUAAAACCAUCCCCAGUUCGGAUUGAGGUCUGCAACCCGACCUCAUGAAGACGGAAUCGCUAGUAAUCGCCUAUCAGCAUGGGGCGGUGAAUACGUUCCCGGGCCUUGUACACACCGCCCGUCACGCCAUGGGAGCCGGGGGCACCUGAAGUCGCUGGCCCAACCCCGCAAGGGGAGGGAGGCGCCUAGGGUGAAACCGGUGACUGGGGCG
rnacentral:rRNA from 1 species